AGCCAAGCUGAAUUGGGUCUCUUAGCUCAGUUGGUAGAGCAUGAGACUCUUAAUCUCAGGGUUGUGGGUUCGA